AACAAUUUGAAUGACAAUAAAGUGGACAAUUGGAAGUUAAGGACAUAUUCGAAACAAGAUUUAUGAUUUUAAACGUACAGCAUCAAACAGCGGGAUUAAAUCAUGUUCAUCCAAAAACACCAGAAGAAAAAUAAUGCCGCCUACAAAUAACUCAGAACAUACCAACACAACCGUUUUGGAAAUCAAAAUCCGAAUGGUAACUACCACAGUACAACAUCAAGGCAAUUGAAAUGCACACCGUUAUCGUAACCGACACACAAAAUUAUCUACACAUUCUACUUUGUGCAACAGAAAUUUUAAACCGAAAUGCUUCCACGAUGUAAUGCAUAUACUGAAUCCAAAUACUAGUUUGCAACAGUAAUGUUUCAAUAAUGUCUACACGGAUGCUAGUUUAUAACAGUAAAGAACAAAUGCAGAAAUUCGACAGCACCACAGCGGAUAUGAACCAAGCAUAUGCCAUAACAAUGUACUCAUCACAGUAAGCAAGCCUAGAAGAUAGCAUUAUCAAAAAAAAAAAAAUGUAGAUUUUCACUGCUACAGGUUUGUAACCACUGCCGAAAAGUUAAACCGAGGAGUUACCGUAAUCGUAGUAAUUGCAGUAGAGCCCAAAUCAAAACAGCAGCAGCUUGAGAUCU
rnacentral:lncRNA from 1 species